UACGUAGGGUGCGAGCGUUGUCCGGAAUUAUUGGGCGUAAAGAGCUCGUAGGCGGUUUGUCACGUCUGCUGUGAAAUCCCGAGGCUCAACCUCAGGCCUGCAGUGGGUACGGGCAGACUGGAGUGCGGUAGGGGAGAAUGGAAUUCCUGGUGUAGCGGUGGAAUGCGCAGAUAUCAGGAGGAACACCAGUGGCGAAAGCGGCUUCCUGGUCCAGCACCGACGUUCAGGCACGAAAGCGUGGGGAGCAAACAGG
rnacentral:rRNA from 1 species